rnacentral:rRNA from 1 species
CCUACGGGCCAAAGAGGGGGACCUUCGGGCCUCUCGCGUCAGGAUAUGCCUAGGUGGGAUUAGCUAGUUGGUGAGGUAAGGGCUCACCAAGGCGACGAUCCCUAGCUGGUCUGAGAGGAUGAUCAGCCACACUGGAACUGAGACACGGUCCAGACUCCUACGGGAGGCAGCAGUGGGGAAUAUUGCACAAUGGGCGCAAGCCUGAUGCAGCCAUGCCGCGUGUGUGAAGAAGGCCUUCGGGUUGUAAAGCACUUUCAGUCGUGAGGAAGGUAGUGUAGUUAAUAGCUGCAUUAUUUGACGUUAGCGACAGAAGAAGCACCGGCUAACUCCGUGCCAGCAGCCGCGGUAAUACGGAGGGUGCGAGCGUUAAUCGGAAUUACUGGGCGUAAAGCGCAUGCAGGUGGUUUGUUAAGUCAGAUGUGAAAGCCCGGGGCUCAACCUCGGAAUUGCAUUUGAAACUGGCAGACUAGAGUACUGUAGAGGGGGGUAGAAUUUCAGGUGUAGCGGUGAAAUGCGUAGAGAUCUGAAGGAAUACCGGUGGCGAAGGCGGCCCCCUGGAC